CGGUGGAGCAUGUGGUUUAAUUCGAUGAUACGCCGAGGAACCUUACCUGGGCUCAAAUGUAUGUUGACGUAUUCUGAAAGGGAUACUUCUUCGGACAAUAUACAAGGUGCUGCAUGGUUGUCGUCAGCUCGUGCCGUGAGGUGUCGGGUUAAGUCCCAUAACGAGCGCAACCCCUAUCAUUAGUUGCCAUCAGGUCAAGCUGGGGACUCUAAUGAAACUGCCUACGCAAGUAGUGAGGAAGGUGGGGAUGACGUCAAAUCAGCACGGCCCUUACGUCCAGGGCUACACACGUGCUACAAUGGCCGGUACAAAGGGCAGCUACCUGGUGACAGGAUGCAAAUCUCCAAAGUCGGUCUCAGUUCGGAUCGGAGUCUGCAACCCGACUCCGUGAAGUUGGAUUCGCUAGUAAUCGCGCAUCAGCCAUGGCGCGGUGAAUGCGUUCCCGGGCCUU
rnacentral:rRNA from 1 species